CUCAGAUGAUGUUACUAUUAUAUUUGCUACUUCGGACGGUCGUUUCGAUGACUGGAUGAGACUUUUUUUUAUCACCAAGAUCUCUGAUGAG
rnacentral:snoRNA from 1 species